CAAAGUGUGGGGGUCUUGCUGUAACAUCUAUCACUCCAUUAAUCUCCAGGGUUGAUUUGGCUGAUCUGGCUGGCUAAGUGGAUUAUCCCUUCCUCCCUCACAACUCCAUGUGUGUCCCUCUGAAGCUGUAAGCUUGGUCAAAGACGAUUUUCCUUAAUAGAGGAGGACUGUUCUUCAGUCAUGAGUAUAGGAGUGGCUGAGCUCCCCUUUGUACAAGCUCUCAAACUAUGGGGUUCUUUCUCUACUUUGUAGCCCAGA
ensembl:misc_RNA 7SK 7SK RNA